rnacentral:rRNA from 1 species
CCUACGGGAGGCAGCAGUCGGGAAUUUUGCGCAAUGGACGAAAGUCUGACGCAGCAACGCCGCGUGAGGGAUGACGGCCUUCGGGUUGUAAACCUCUUUUGUCAGGGACGAUGAUGACGGUACCUGACGAAUAAGCCACGGCUAACUACGUGCCAGCAGCCGCGGUAAUACGUAGGUGGCAAGCGUUGUCCGGAUUUACUGGGCGUAAAGAGCGCGCAGGCGGUCGUUCAAGUCGCGUGUGAAAGCCCCCGGCUCAACUGGGGAGGGUCACGCGAUACUGAUCGACUCGAAGGCAGGAGAGGGUAGUGGAAUUCCCGGUGUAGUGGUGAAAUGCGUAGAUAUCGGGAGGAACACCAGUGGCGAAGGCGACUACCUGGCCUGUUCUUGACGCUGAGGCGCGAAAGCUAGGGGAGCAAACGGGAUUAGAUACCCUUGUAGUC